CGGAGUCGUAUGAGGUAUCCCUAGUCUUUGUGUCGCCCCGGCUCUUCCGUGCGGUGUCGGAUUGCCUGAGUGCGCCUGGGAACGUACCUUUCGGUUGCGAAUACUUCAGGGCUCCUUGGACUAAGUCCGGAUACACCCUUCGGGGGAAAGAUUUAUCGCCGAUAGAUCGGCCCGCGUCUGAUUAGCUAGUUGGUGAGGUAAUGGCUCACCAAGGCGACGAUCAGUAGCUGGUCUGAGAGGAUGAUCAGCCACAUUGGGACUGAGACACGGCCCAAACUCCUACGGGAGGCAGCAGUGGGGAAUAUUGGACAAUAGGGCGCAAGCCUGAUCCAGCCAUGCCGCGUGAGUGAUGAAGGCCUUAGGGUUGUAAAGCUCUUUUGUCCGGGAAGAUAAUGACUGUACCGGAAGAAUAAGCCCCGGCUAACUUCGUGCCAGCAGCCGCGGUAAUACGAAGGGGGCUAGCGUUGCUCGGAAUCACUGGGCGUAAAGGGCGCGUAGGCGGACUCUUAAGUCGGGGGUGAAAGCCCAGGGCUCAACCCUGGAAUUGCCUUCGAUACUGGGAGUCUUGAGAUCGGGAAGAGGUUGGUGGAACUGCGAGUGUAGAGGUGAAUUCGUAGAUAUUCGCAAGAACACCAGUGGCGAAGGGGGCCAACUGGUC
rnacentral:rRNA from 1 species